GAUGAAGAACGUAGCGAAAUGCGAUACGUAAUGUGAAUUGCAGAAUUCCGUGAAUCAUCGAAUCUUUGAACGCACAUUGCGCCCGCCAGUAUUCUGGCGGGCAUGCCUGUUCGAGCGUCAUUUCAACCAUCAAGCCCUGCUUGCGUUGGGGUCCUGCGGCUGCCCGCAGGCCCUGAAAACCAGUGGCGGGCUCGCUAGUCACACCGAGCGCAGUAAUACAUCUCGCUUUGGGCGUGCGGCGGGUUCUUGCCGUUAAACACCCCCUUUUUACCAAGGUUGACCUCGGAUCAGGUAGGAAUACCCGCUGAACUUAAGCAUAUCAAUAAGCGGAGGA
rnacentral:misc_RNA from 1 species